CCUACGGGUGGCAGCAGUGAGGAAUAUUGGUCAAUGGGCGGAAGCCUGAACCAGCCAAGUAGCGUGCAGGAUGAUGGCCCUACGGGUUGUAAACUGCUUUUAUACGGGAAUAACGCGCCUUACGUGUAGGGCUUUGCAUGUACCGUAUGAAUAAGGACCGGCUAAUUCCGUGCCAGCAGCCGCGGUAAUACGGAAGGUCCGGGCGUUAUCCGGAUUUAUUGGGUUUAAAGGGAGCGUAGGCCGCAUGUCAAGCGUGCUGUGAAAUGUCCGGGCUCAACCCGGGCCUUGCAGCGCGAACUGGCGUGCUUGAGUCCGCGGAAAGCAGGCGGAAUUCGUCGUGUAGCGGUGAAAUGCAUAGAUAUCACGCAGAACUCCGAUUGCGAAGGCAGCAUACCGGCGCCCGACUGACGCUGAAGCACGAAAGCGUGGGUAUCGAACAGGAUUAGAUACCCGUGUAGUC
rnacentral:rRNA from 1 species